rnacentral:lncRNA from 1 species
UCUUCACAGGUGAAUUCAAAAGACGUGCCUGAUUAUUCCCGCAAGCCAAUCAGCGAUCUUAAGUACUUCUUCAAAAGCAAAAAAGAUAAGUAAAGCUUUUACAUUCCUCACAUCAAGACUGCUGCACCUUAAGGCAGAUAUGUUGUGCCUGCCUCCUCUUUUGAUUCUAUCUGGGAACUGUUGUUGACCAUAAAACUCCUAAUGGGUUCUUGUAUUAUAAUUCUCUAUGCUCAAGCUAAAUGGGUUUAUAAUCUACAUAGGGUAACCUUUCCAUCUUAAAGGGUACACCAGUCACAGUUGGUUUUGUUCCAGUUUUGCUUAUGCUAAUUAACAAACAUAUGUUUCAGAACUCAGCAACUUCUGGGAUUAACUGACCAUGCAGGGGACACAACUAUGAUGGUGACCCAGACUAUUCCAGCUCAUAAAAUGAAUUUGUUAGAUGAGAUGAGAUGUUAGAUAGGACAGGCAGGGCCUGCACUACGCCCCUCAUCAGCAGGAAGCAGCUAUAGAGGAUAUGAUGAUUCUAUGCCCUUCAAAAUCCCUUCAGAUGAAGGGAAUGGAGUCUCUGAGGGGGGAAUGAUGUAGGCAGGCAGAUACACAAUCAGGCCCAUCUACCAAUCAGGCUACAUGACCACACCCCUUUGGAAGUGGAACACAGUGGGCCUGGCCCUUACUCUCCAUGCCCUGGAUUCUCUUGACCUGUGCCUUUGAGGAGUGUGGCCUUUGGGGUGCGUGGCCUUUGGGCCAACUGCUCUCCUCACCUUCGCUUAGUCGUGCUAAGCUUCUUAUGGCUGUUCGUAACCAAACACUUGCUGUGCAUGGCUCUUGGCCUGCUCUCUGCUUGGGUAGAAAUUAUUGAACUCCAGAAAAAUCAACUCUUUUAUCUACCUUUGACUUAAGAUUAAAUCCAUUACAGGACCAGUACGUUAAAGUAUGUAUGCAUUGAAUUCUAUUCAUUGAAUAUAAUGAUAAUAUUUUUGACUUGAUAAUUAUUUGGUUAUAAUCAUAAAAUCAAUUCUGUAUAAGUAUUG